GUCCGCCAGCCAGCCGGGGCAGUGGGGAGAAAGGCUCAGUGGAGUGAAUCUGACACUUGCAACGGCCCAAGAGAACUACGCUUCCACCAUGACGUUUGCUGUUUGGAAGCAGAGUUUCUGAUCAUUCUGAUAAUGUAAAAACUGUUGGUUAGCUUCCUUCUGAGCUGUCGGUAAAAGGCACACUGAUUUUAAACAUUAGUAGGAAUAUGAAAUCUGGAUAAGAGAUUGUUGGUCCCACAGGACGUUCAAGCUUCAAAGGAACAGAUGAACAUUUGCAUAACCUUCUAUGUGAAGACAGCAGCCAGAGCUAAUUUUUAAUUUAUUUCCCCCUAGAGGAAAUAUCUCUUGGUUACUCUUGGUCAGCCACACAAUGAUGGUUCAGUAAAGUCAUUUAGGAAUCUGGAGGAAAAAAUCCAAAAAGGUUCUGAAGGUGAAGGGAAAAUAAACAUCCAAGAACAGAUUUUUCCCCGCUAAAUUUAGGUGCAUAAAUAGUAUACAAAUAGAAGGUUUGCAUUGUAGACUUUACUGGAUGACAUUAGCAUAUUUGAAUUUGCUGAGUUGUCUCUCUUACUUUGGUAUAAUAUUGUUUGUUAUGGACUGAAUCCUUUUGUUUUCCCCAAAUUCCUAGUUGGAAUCUAAUCCCCAUUGUGGUGGUAUUUGGAGGCGGGGCCUUUGGGAAGUGAUUAGGUCAGGAGGGUGGAGCCCUCAUGAAUGGGACUAGUGCCCUUAAAAGAGACCAGAGAGCUAGCUCGCUCUUUUCCCACUGCGUGAGGGAUGCAAUGAGAAGUCAGCAAUCUGCAAUCUGGAGGAGGUUCUCACCACAACCCACCACGCUGGCACCCUGAUCUCAGACUUCCAGCCUCCAGAACUAUGCCGCAUUGAAGCAGACACCUGAGAAGAAAAAUAUGAUCCCUGAAUUCAAAAGAGUCACAGGCUAUUGGGCAUGACCGGCAAGGGCAGAAUGAUGAAGCAAAGAGAGAAUGGGCUUUCAAGUCAGACAGACCUGGAUGUGAACUAUGGAUCUAAAAAGUUGUAUGACUCCAAGCAAUUUACUUAAGGAAUUCGAAGUUCAAUUGUCUCAUCUGUAAAAACUUCUAGAAUCUGUUUGAAUUAAAUAAGAUAAUCUGUAUGCUCCA